AAUAUUUUUCAGCGCCUGGACAUGAAAUCAAAUGUUGUGUUGCGUUACUAUGUGUUACAGUUACACGAUCGUUUUAAAAAGUAUGGGAUUAGCCUAUAUAUUAAAAUAAGAAGGAUGAUUGAAGACAAAGAGGUUGAAAUCUGCUAAAAUCCAUCUUAAUAAGACGAGUAUAGAGAGCAUCCCAAUAUAGAUCUUCAGUGUGGUAGACUUUUUUCUCAGGACAUUACAUGUGUUCUAAGAAUAGACAGUAAUUCAAUCUGAUGCUGAUUUUGGUAAAAUUCUUUAUAACUGUAACCGUGGGAGAUUAUAAGAAGGUGAUUGGAGUUGUUUACAUAAGGAUCCCCAAUAGUUGGCUGUACGUA